GGGGAUGUAGCUCAGUUAGUAGAAUGCUUCUCUUGCAUGGACAAGGCUCUGGGUUCAAUCCCCAGCACCGCCA
rnacentral:tRNA from 1 species